rnacentral:rRNA from 1 species
UACGUAGGGGGCAAGCGUUGUCCGGAUUUAUUGGGCGUAAAGAGCGUGUAGGCGGCCAGACAGGUCGGUUGGGAAAACUCGAGGCUCAACCUCGAGACGCCGAUGGAAACCGUUUGGCUAGAGUCCGGAAGAGGAGAGUGGAAUUCCUGGUGUAGCGGUGAAAUGCGCAGAUAUCAGGAAGAACACCCGUGGCUAAGGCGGCUCUCUAGUACGGUACUGACGCUGAGACGCGAAAGCGUGGGGAGCGAACAGG